rnacentral:lncRNA from 1 species
GGUGCAACGAGAGGCUUUCAACACAAGGCUCCAGCUCCUGAUUGACGAUGGUGAAGCAGCCCAAAUGGUUCCCAGUGGGCGGUUGAGAUGGGAGUGAAGACGGAGAUGACAGUGUCAACACUGUGGAAAGGGGCCCGGGUGGGCGCGUACGGUGGGCUCACUGAGGGGCCGGAGCCGUGCUUCGUGACACAGCGAGGAGCCUGUGAGCCUGUGAAGCCAGAGAGCCUCCUAGACCCGCCCCAUCCCAGAGCCUAGGCUGCUUCUCGCCCCAGGACCGCGGCCUGGGUGGCUCCCUGUCCAUCAGCGCCCAGCAGCGGAGGCUGCGCUGCCCCGGUCUGUAGCCGCUGCUGCCCAACAGCAGAGCAGCCAUGGGCCCUGCGCACAGUCACCUGCACAGUGCGUUCAUGGACAGCCACGUUCUCGGGUGCCCAGUUCUUCUGCGUAAGGGAGUAGAAGAGGGCCGUUGCCCACGGCUGCCACACAGAUCCCUCAGGGACGUGGUGGUGCUGGGAUGCCAC